UAACGCCGGCAGAGCUUGCUCUCUGGCGACGAGAUGGCGGACGGGUGAGUAAUACUUAGGAAUCUGCCCAGCUAGGUGGGGGACAACUCGGGGAAACUCGAGCUAAUACCGCAUACGCACUACGGUGGAAAGUGGGGGACCUUCGGGCCUCACGCUAUUGGAUGAGCCUAAGUCGGAUUAGCUUGUUGGUAGGGUAAUGGCCUAUCAAGGCGACGAUCCGUAGCUGGUCUGAGAGGACGAUCAGCCACACUGGGACUGAGACACGGCCCAGACUCCUACGGGAGGCAGCAGUGGGGAAUAUUGGACAAUGGGCGCAAGCCUGAUCCAGCAAUGCCGCGUGUGUGAAGAAGGCCUGCGGGUUGUAAAGCACUUUCAGUAGAGAAGAAAAGCUUACGGUUAAUACCUGUGAGUCUUGACGUAACCUACAGAAGAAGCACCGGCUAACUCCGUGCCAGCAGCCGCGGUAAUACGGAGGGUGCAAGCGUUNNUCGGAAUUACUGGGCGUAAAGCGCGCGUAGGCGGCUCUGUAAGUCGGAUGUGAAAGCCCUGGGCUUAACCUGGGAAUUGCAUUCGAUACUGCAGAGCUAGAGUAUGGUAGAGGGAAGUGGAAUUUCCGGUGUAGCGGUGAA
rnacentral:rRNA from 1 species